rnacentral:rRNA from 1 species
AGUGGGUGUAGCGUACCUACUAGCCUACGACGGGUACGGGUUGUGAGAGCAAGAGCCCGGAGAUGGAUUCUGAGACACGAAUCCAGGCCCUACGGGGUGCAGCAGGCGCGAAAACUUUACAAUGCUGGCAACAGCGAUAAGGGAACCUCGAGUGCCAGGUUACAAAUCUGGCUGUCGAGAUGCCUAAAAAGCAUUUCAUAGCAAGGGCCGGGCAAGACCGGUGCCAGCCGCCGCGGUAACACCGGCGGCUCGAGUGGUAACCGUUAUUAUUGGGUCUAAAGGGUCUGUAGCCGGCCGGAUAAGUCUCUUGAGAAAUCUGGCGGCUUAACUGUCAGGCUUUCAGGAGAUACUGUCUGGCUCGAGGCCGGGAGAGGUGAGAGGUACUUCAGGGGUAGGGGUGAAAUCUUGUAAUCCUUGAAGGACCACCAGUGGCGAAGGCGUCUCACCAGAACGGACCUGACGGCAGGGGACGAAAGCUAGGGGCACGAACCGGAUUAGAU